ensembl:lncRNA
AUGUAGAAAUAUAUAUAUAUAUACAUAUAUUUGUUUAUGACCGGUUUGAUUAUGAACUUGUAUUUAUUUAUGGAUACAUUAAUCAAUUCAUUUCCAUUUUUGUUUCACCAUGUAUUGAUUUAUUUAUACAUUAAAUUAUUUGUUUAUGUACGAAUUUAUUUAUUAAUUAAUUUAUACUAGUAUGUAAGUAAGUCACAGUCCAUCACAUUACAUUAUAUUACAUGUCAUUUAGCUGACGCUUUUAUCCAAAGCGACUUAAAAUAAGUGCAUUCAACCAUAGGGUACAAAGUCAGAAGAACAAGAAACAAGAAAGUGCAAUUUCCUCAAAUAAGCCAAUUUACAAAUUGGUAUAGAUGAGUGGCGUUAUAAGUACAAUUUAAGUGCUACAAUUUGUUAGUCUUUUAUUCGAGGUAGAGUCUGAAGAGGUGUGUCUUUAGUUUGCGGCGGAAGAUGUGAAGGCUCUCUGUGGUCCUGGUGUCUUCAGAGAGCUCGUUCCACCAUUUCAGAGCAAGGACAGCGAAGAGUCGAGAUCUAGUCAAGUGUUUUGCUCUCAGUGAGGGAGGGACGAGCAGUUUUGCAGAUGCAGAGCGGAGAGUGUGGGUCAGGAUGUAGGGUUUGACCAUGUCCUGGAUGUAAGCUGGACCCGAUCCAUUUAUAGUAUGGUACGUGAGCACCAAUGUUUUGAACUGGAUGGGGGCAGCCACCGCCAGUGAAGAGAGCGGAGGAGUGGAGUAGAGUGGGAGAAUUUCGGAAGGUUAAAGACCAGUCGAGCUGCUGCAUUCUGGAUGAGCUGCAAAGUUCGAAUGGCGGUAGCAGGGAGACCUACCAGGAGGGAGUUGCAGUAGUCCCGGAGUGAGAUGACAAGAGCCUUAAUCCGUACCUGGGCAGCCUUCUGAGUGAGAAGAGGACGUAUUCUCCUGAUGUUGUGGAGCUUGUAUCUACAGGAUCAUGUUGUCGCAGUAAUGUUGGGAGUCAGGGAAAGUUGGCUGUCGAGUGUGACGCUGAGGUUCCUAGCAGUUAAAGUGGGCUGAAGAUGACGUCGGGUCCUGGGUCGGAGAAUCUUUUCCCGGAAAGAGAAGUAGUUCAGUCUUGUCGGGGUUGAUUUUCAGAUGGUGGGCGGACAUCGACUAGUUAGACAGGCAGAGAUCCGCGCCGCCACCUGGGUGUCCGAGGGAGGGAAGGAGAGAAUUAGUUGGGUGUCAUCGGCAUAGCUGUGGUAGGAGAAGCCAUGCGAUUGAAUGACAGCGCCGAGAGAGUUGGUGUAGAGCGAGAAAAGAAGGGGACCCAGGACGGAACCCUGAGGAACUCCAGUAGUAAGAGGACAAGGUUCCGACACAGAUCUUCUGCCAGGUUACCCGGUAGGUGCGGCCGUCGAGGUAGGACGAGAGGAGGGAAAGAGCAGAGCCUGAGACACCAAGUUCCUGAAGGGAGGGAAUAAGAACCUGGUCUUUGACUGUGUCAAAUGCAGCAGAGAGGUCCAAAAGGAUGAGCACAGAGGAGAUUGCUCUGAGACAGCAAGGAGAGCAGUCUCUGUGGAAUGGCCUGCAUUGAAGCCUGACUGGUGGGGGUCAAAGAGGUUGUUACGGUGGAGAUAGGAGGAGAGUUGGUCAAAGAUCGCACGUUCAAGAGUUUUGGACAAAAAGGGAAGAAGAGAGAGCGCUCUGUAGUUGUUUUCUUCAGAAGGGUUGAGGGUAGGUUUCUUCAGGAGAGGGUUAAUUCUUGCCUCCUUCAGAGAAUUGGGAAAACAGCCAGCUAACAGAGUAUUAAUGAUGAGACAGGUGAGGAAAGGAAGAAGGUCAGGUGCAAUAGAUUGUAGAAGAUAUGAUGGAAUGGGGUCAAGAGGUCAGGUGAUCGGACGGGCAGAGGUUACUAGGGUAAGAAUUUGGUUUGGAGACAGGGGGGUGAAAGAGGAAGGUGAGGGCGAUAGAGGUGAAGCCAGGUGGAUGCAAGAAGUAGGAGGUGAGUUCUCACUCCUCCAUUAAAAAAAAACUCCGCACAAGAAAAAAACUCCGCACAGGAAUAGACUAUAGUCUUAUAGUGCAGCGACUAGACACUUUAGACAAUGGUGCUCCCAUGAAGCACCAUUGUGAAUGUAGCUAACAUGAUGCUAACAAUGUACAAGAAUGAGCACAAUAUGGAGCGGCUGUGGAACCAACACACAGUGACACAAGCACUAGUCACUCUCUCUGCUCUGAGCCUCCCCUUACCCGUCCCUCUGCUCCCAGUCUCCCUCUCAAUAAUCCCAUUAUGUGUUGCAAUGACCUGUCAGUGUCAUUCAGUGUCGUUGUCAUGCCGACCUCCCUCCACAUGACUUGCCCCUGGGCUCUCUGCCAAUGGGAAUCCUCCAUGCUGAUUAGCCGGCAGUGAUCUCCUUUGGUGGAGCCCCGCCCACGCCAGGGGAGGUGCAGAGGCAGGGUGUUGAGGUGGGGGGUGAUGGGCAUGUGGAGGACACCUUCUGGCGGCCCUGGUUUAGGGUCACGGCGGUAAAGGAUGCGGCUUGUGUAAAACCUGCGCGAGAGUCCAUUGUCAUUAGUUUGCAUGUCUACGUUCUUACAGUCUUGGUAAUGUUAUAUCUUUAUACUUCAUGUUCUGUUCGGUGUAAUAUGUUUUUGCUUUUGAUUAAGGUUCCAAUUAUAAUAAUGUCAUGAUCAAGUUGCCAGGAGAACCGGGAACUGAACUCCCCACCUAAUGCCCGCGCUUCAAAUAUAGGGAAGCCAAAUUUAAAAAGGCAAAAUUUGUGUCUGACACAGUUUCAUUACCAUCUAUGUGUGAAAAUCUCUACCUUGCUCACUUCCGAAUUGCAAUCCUUUUUGAGGUAUUGUAACCAGAGUUGCUCCGAUUUAAAGAAAAAACAUGUUAAAAUGUAUAUCUAACUAUUGUCUGUAUCUGAAGGGACCAGAUCUUUUUAUUACUGAUCACUUGCCCUGGUUUUAGGCCAACUGACCAAUUAGUGUGACAUGUGAGCGGUUAUGGAUCCCAAACUUAUGAAUUCAGCUUUUUUAUCCCCAGGUAUAAGUUUCCUUUUCAAAUACUUUGCUUAAUGACUGUUCAUUUUUAAACUUUAUGUCUUGCCUUUAUUAGGAGAAUUAACGUUAUUUUUGAGAUUGUGGUUUUGUUUGUUCGUCUGCCAGCAAGAUUACAGAAAACUAAAUUGUCCUAUUUUCCUGAAACUUGUUGGAAGGAUAUCAAAGGAAAACCACACGUUUGAGCGGACUGGUUUGGAGGGAGUCUGCACUCUCCGAGAACCAUUUAGUUGUUUUUCCGAGGUGCAUCACUCAUGAUAGGCCUUUUCACUAUGGAUAUAGUGUUUUAGCCUUUAGUAGCUGGAUAUCCCCUCUUAAAAAGUCUGUGUAUCAGUGUUUACCACUGUUGUGGCGAUGUGUCUUCCAUAUCCAGUCUAACUUGUGACUUCUUUUGUUGCUUGUCCUUGUGCAUGGGCAACCAAAUUUAUUUUCUUGUGGGGAUUAUUGAAUUAACUAAUCUAAUCUAUAAUCUAAUCCAAUCCAAAACCCGACCAGGAUAGUAGUUUUGAAUGCUUUUUCUCCAUUUCGUCAGUCACUGACCGAGGGCUAAACCUUUUUAAAGAAAUAAUCCCACCUUUGUAUGCCAAUGCUAUGCAUUACAAUAGACUGAGACAUAGAUGCUGUAUUUUUGUAGUUCCCUGGACAAACAGAUUUUUCCAUUGGAUUUUAGAUUGUUGCUCAAGAUAAAACACUUACAAUUGGCAGGAGUAAAAAGCUGUUAUGUUCAGCGAAUUACAUCACAAACAGCGUUGGCCAAUUUAUUUGCUGUGCUUUAUUUGCGUCUUUUGCGUCAUUUGUGCCGCCUGUUGAAAAUUUGCUUCAUUCGCAGCCAUUUGCGUCUGUAGAGGCUAAACCUACGCUUUAAGCCACUGAGGCAUUUUGUCCGGAAACCUUAGUCGACGCGCCGCUGUUUGUCACGAAUGAAUGACAGUCCUUGUAGCCUUUGUGUUGUUUAGUCCAUUUAUUUUCCAACUUGCUCCUGUCACAGAUUUAUAAUACAUCCACCCGGAGAGUUACAUGAUACUACCCAGCGUGCGGUCAAAAACUGUUUUGCUAUUCCGGCUGGAAACACCUGCCGAGCCCCCAAUGGUUCCUACCCUAUAUAGGCUGACCCGCCCAUCAAUCAGCUCCUUACAUACAUCAUAAAUCGGCUCUUAUAGUGUCUAUGCUUUGGCUUUGCAUCGAAUCUACUUGUGCGAAUACUCCGCUUCACUUUUGGUGUGAACGUAACAUUAGAGAUAAGGUAAGGAGCUUGGACAUCUGGAGGGAACUUGGAAUUGAGGCGCUACGCCUUCUUGUCGAAAUCAGUCAGUUGAGGUAGUUCAGGCAUCUGACUACGAGGUUUUUCCCUACUGAAGGUUUUCUGAAAUCUGGGUCAACCUGCUGCCAGCGCGACCAACCUCGGAUAAGCAGAGGAAAAGGGAUGAAUAGGUGGAUAAUUAUUGAGCCGUAAUAGAAGGUGACUGAGAAAUACAAUUUCGAAGAUUGCUUUUCUGUAAUUGCUUGGAUAUGACAAUAAAUACGGUGAAACUUGAAGUAGCCUGUCACAACUGGAGACACUCUUGACCACUAAAAUCAGCUAAAUUCGGUGCAAAAGUGGAUGGAUUUUAGUGGAAAGAUUUGAUGGUAUUUUCUUUCCGAGUUGUGGUUUAACCUGACUUAGUGUCCUCUCAUAUCUUUAUCCUACGCGCCUGUAAACUCUCCUCCUUAGAUCACUAAAGAACUUGAGUGGAUAUGUUCAAUACUACAGUGCCGUUGUCUGUUGAUCUGCACUAAGCUCAUUGGCUAUAACACUCUUGCUUAGGGCUGAAGCUUAGCUGACAACAAUGGUAUAGGUACGCUUGUGUUGGAAAAAUAGCAAUAAUAUUCCACCAUACUCAGUAUUACUUACAGAAGGUCUGUGCUCUCUCACACAGAAGCACUUGUGUUCUGGGUCAUCUGAUAAUCAAGAUGUUUGUUUGUCAAUGUUUAUAUCUUGUGGUGUCAAAGCUGAUUGUCUACAUCGAAGAUUAAUUACCAUUUUUGCCCAGUGCGCCCUCUGUUUUAGCAUGUGUAACGCAUCACAGGAGGCAGGAGUCGACCCUAGCGCAGAGCGCAGAUUUAAUUAACAAAGGGAGUAGGCUAGUCAUAUCCAGUAAACAGGCAGGAGGUCAAAAUCCAGGAGCAGGUACAUAGGCGAAGGUACCGACAAGGAUCAGGCAGGAGGCAACGAGAUCUGGAACAAACAAGGAGUCUUCAACAAGAGGCCAAACAGGAGAUCAGAAUAACGCUCAGAUUGUGAUGGUAAACUACAAGACUUCGCAAGGAACGCAAAGGAAUCAGGGGAAUAUAUACAGACCACCUUGAUGGGUAACCAGACACAGGUGUAAGUAGGGAAUUGCCGUCCUUGGAUGGAUAUGGAUUUCUCCCACUUAUCUCCCCAAAGAGGGUUUUUGGGGAGUUUUUUUCUCCUGUAGUAGAUGAGCAACUGAAUGCAAGACAGCCGAUUGAGGCGAAUGUCUUGAGUAUUGGACCACAUGAACUGUAUUAGAUCUUGUGAUGUAGUGUGAUGAACUAUGGUCAUUUAUGAUGUGUUGUAAUUAAAGUGUACUAGUUAUACGAUGAAGACAAACUAUGCAUGCUUUGUUAUACUCACUCAUUGAGGCAUAAAGCCAUAUGUAUCUACAUUGAAUGUCUUGGAAUGUGAGGGACAGAUAGGACAAAGAAGGUCUCAGGUUACAGCUGCAGCUUCACACCUCGGCGUAAAGGGGACAAUCCAGGAGGAGACACGUUUGAAGGAGUAGCCAAUGACGUUGAAAUGCACCCAAGAAGACACACCCCAGUAGUUUUCAAAUUCGCGAAAUAUUUCACUGUACGCAUUGUAUUUCACUUUGUAAUCGUAUUCCUUAUCACUUUGUUUAGUUAUUAAAUACUUUUUGAUUUUUAAAUUUGAACAAAUUGACUCUUUUGAUUCAUCGUUUCCUGCCGGGACGAGAACAAAGGAGUGAGGCUUCCCUCGAGGGCUUUCCGAACCCUUAACAACGUGCAGGAAAAGCAUAUAUUUUGCGCAGAUAUCUUAAUUUACAAAUAUUACCGGGUAUAUAAUCCACGUUUCAAAAACACAAAUAUUGACUAUUUGUAAAAUGUAUUUUUAAUUUAAUAAACAACAAGAAUUAAAAAAAAUUUGGUCGCUCAUGGUGGGGCCACGCCCCGUUGCCCUCUAUGGACCAGCAGCCACUCAUUUGGCAAGUAACAUUACUUCUGUGAGUGACGCCAUUUUAACACAAAGAAUUAAAAUUAAUGAAGUCACAUUUCAAAUUUUUGUAAGGGGAUACAAUUCAUAGGGACAAUUUUGCGUAUAUUUCAAACCUUAUGUUUGAAGUAGCUGUGUAUUUAGACAGGUAGUGAGAGUGAUUUGUCCUCUUUAUCCUCACAAACAAGCUUCAAAGCAUAACAUUUAAUGUGCUGAAAUCUGAAUGUUGACAACUGCUCUCUCUUAAACUCAUUUAGGACAGUCUGAAUUUCAGGGCCAUCGUCUAAACUCAGUUAUCCCGACUACGGUCAGAUAAUUCAAGUCAGGCUACCCACCCUCACAUAAUAAAGGAUCCUGUCAGAUUAAAACCGUUCUGUGAGGAAAAAGCCACAACUGUUACUGACAAACAUGGACAUACCCACGGAAUACACUAAAUGAUGUAUUGAUUCAUAUACAUUUACGCCAAUAUUAUUAACGUACAAUUACGCAGUUAGGUCAUGGGACAUUUGGAGUUACAAGUUAGUCACGCACCAGCAGUGAGCAUGGCCAUUCAUAUAGAUAAUCUCUUUACUGUCAGUUGGCUGAUGCUAAUUGCGUUAGCUGCUGUCAACAGGUAUUUGGUUACAUAGGACGCCCCUCUAACCUACUUACCAGACAGAUUUGGUUUUCCAUAGAUACAAAAAUGAUGGUGACGUUCAUGGCCCAGCAAUAACAGCCACCAAAAAUGAUUAAAAAUCCAUUUCUGGAUUAGUGUUUUCCUUAUUUUUAUUUUAUUCUUAUUUUUUUAUCCAUUAGUGUCUAAGACUUCUUUAAAUUAAACAAAAACAAACACAAUAUUUUACCUACUGGAGGAACACAUAGUAGUAAUAAUACAUAAUAGUUUAGAGGAAAUAAGUAGUCUUGAGUCCACAAUAGGAAAUAAAGAUAAAAACAAUAACAAAAUGUAACUGACCUUCUCACCUGAUAUUUUAGAACGGUAGUAUUUUACCCCUAUUGUACACAAACCUAUACCUCAUCUGAGUGCCUGAGGUCUUUUGUUUGUGGUUUGUUAGUUUCACAAGCCUGUGAUCAUCAUAGUGGUCACAUAGGUCCUUUUGUCAAGUGAUAUCAAGUAAAAACAAGUGUUCUCACUCUGUGAAAUUGCUAUUAUGGGGUCUGACAUCAUCAAACAAUAAGAUAAUUGAGGUCAUUCAUUCCACAAGUACAGGUACACCAAAUUAUGCAAACCCACGUUGUUUAGCUUUGAAAUAUUCAACUUCACCACUUUUAAUGAAGAUGAAAGUUUAUACAGUUUAUACUCACCAUCUUUCUGUUCCCUUUCAGUCAGAACUAACACUUUUUGCAUUCGAGGGCACAAAGCGACGCAAACGUUCUACAAAUGCUACAAUUACUUGCCGCUGUGUUACUGCUCAACUCAAAAGCUUUGCUGCCAAUGAUGUGCAACAAGUCAAAUGUAUCCUGAUAAUGUUCAGGCCAAAAGGAACAACAUGAGGGCUAUUAAAAGUGAGCUGUUCUCCGACUCCCUCUCUCUUCAGACUGAGUACAGGGAUUAAUUCUACACUUCGGCUCCUACUCUUACUGAGAUCUGUCCCACUGAGACGGACCUACUGCUGAGGGUUCAAUGCACACACUUACACACACACACACACACACACACACACACACACACACACACACACACACACACACACACACACACACACGCACACACACACACACAGCAAUUAUCUCAGAGUGUGAACUCUAUAUUCAUUUCAACUGGGACAUUAAGGUUGACAAAACUGGCCUGAAAACACAGUUUUCUCCUCCUCCAUAGUUUACUUUUUCUCUUCAUCUCGCAGAGCGAUCUGAUCCGACAGGAGGCGGCUUUAAGUGUGUUAAACUGGUCCAUGAGUGUGUAUGAUGCAUCUGUGUGUUUACUUCUGUGACAACACUGGGUUUUGUUCUACCAAAGUUGUGGUUUUAUUUGUAUUUGGGUACAUACAUAUAUUUGUUUAGCUUUUAAUUGAGCUAAACAUUUUGUUAUUCGCGAGCCCGUUUUUAUGCCGGAAAAUACACUUUUGCAGCAUCAGUAACCUGAAUGCCAAAGCAGCAGACUGAAAUGAAAAGAAUUUCACAAUUAAACUCAAUGUUUUGCGGUGUCCAUAUGCAAUUCGCUAAAGGUUGGAACCAUUGGAAAUUCUCAAAACACAGUGGGCAUUGCCAAAAACUAGCACAGUAUAUGAGAAAUCAGCAAUAAGGUAUGAGAGGCUGUACUUUACCGUCCAAUAAUGUUCAGGGGUGUUGUUAAGCCCGACGCGCAGAGGGUCAAUGUGAACAGGUACUGUACAUUAUCGCUCAAUAAUGCACUCCCCGUGACUCACUCUCAACCAAUCAGAACGCUGGAUUUCAUCUACCUGUGUUAAAAACCUGUAAUAAGGCCUGUCUAUCUUUCUCACCUUGUGCUCAGUGUACACAACUAUUGAAUUAUUAUACUUUUAGGAGAUAUGGUGAAGCUGCUGUUGAAAUGGCAGCUUUUUUCUGCUAUAAGAGCGGUGGGAGAGAACCAAAACAGCGUAGUUGUGAGCUGGACAUACAUAUAAUUUUCUAUAUCAGUUGUUGCUGGUUAAAAACUAUAACACUUUCUCGCGGCCGUAAUUUUUACUUGUCAUACGGUGAUUUACGGCAACAAUGAAAUUGGUGCAUAAAUGCAGGUAGGCCACUACUGAACUCAAAUGACUGAACACCAAAAGUGUAAAACUGUAUGUAUUGCAGAUGUAUUUUUGCAGAAACACGGAAAAGGCAUAUAGGACGGUGACUGUUUGAUGAGCAAGAAAUGAGGGUCAGUUCAUCUCACAGUGACAUCGCAGGUGUCUAACAAUGCCGCCUUUGCGCUGUCUUUACAAAAUUCCUGCUAAUUAACACAUAAGCACUAAAUACAAAUAAGACUCAUAGACCCAGUAACAACAGGUUUGAGUGAGUGUACGACCCCCAGCUGCCGGAAAAACUGGCCCACAGUUUUCGAUGUGUUUCUCUAACAACUAACAAGACCAUGAGUACACUGGCCAAGUACCCCUCGGUUGCUGCUCUGUUGCUCACUUUUUUUGUUUAUUUUUGGAUGGUGUUGUUAGCUAAUCGAUAAAGCUAACAGCUACCUAACCGCUAGCAGUAACGGACAGCGCACACUGUGCUGUACGCCACCACCACUCAGUCACUGCUAAGCGGCCAGACUGCAUGAGUUUCUCAUUAAUUUGGCACGAUUUGUCUUCGGGCCCACAUGGCCUUUUGUUAUUUUAUACGAAUUAAGCCGGUUACAGCCAACCUUCAAUCGUUGUAAUUAUUAUUAGACCGUACAGCACUGUAUAUUGUAGACACAGUUUAUAGUAUUAUUUUGCUUUUACCGUUUGUUGCGACUGUAGUGGCUAUUGAGUUAUUUGAAGAAAACCAACCUUAAUGUCACGCUUUUUGUCCCUCUUUAUUCUACAAAAUGAGUAUGCAUCCAUCAAACUUUACGUUUUAAGGCAACACAUAUCCUCCAGGAUCACGGCCAUAGUUUUCAAACAUAAUAAUUACUGAGCCAUCUUUAGGCAACUAAGCUACAUGGUUAGGUUAAGUAAUGUAUCAAGGUUUGACCUAAGAAAUAACAAUGUUUAUUAUGCUAUUAUUCAAUUCAUCAAACAUAAUUUGAAAUGUAUGUGUUAAAUGCAUGACUCAAAUGCCACCUGGAAGAAAAUACCUUUCCUUCAAUGUGUAAAGAACAAUGCAGUUCCGUUGUACGCAAGAUAAUCUUUAGGAGACCAGACUGCCUUUUUAAUACCUCCCCUUACAGCAUUCGGCAACUCUCAUCUACUUUUGAGGAAAGCCACAGUGCCUCUCAAACAAGCAUAGUGUACACUAUCCGUGUGUGUUCAAGAUAGACUAUCCAUCGUGUGAGCAUGUUUUCACAUGAGCAGCAUGUGUGUGUAUCUGUGUUUGAAUGUUCUAAACUCCUAAUGUGCGUGUGUACAUGUAACCUUUGCUCCAGUGCUCUGUAUAAUGUGUUUGUGCCUGUAUAAGUAAUUGCUUGGUGUCUAUGGUCCCUGGAGUGCACGCCACUAGUCAAUAGAGGACAUUAUGUUGUGAGUUUACCCAUAAUGCCCCAGGGGACUGGCAGUUGAGUGAGCUCAUUGUGGUUUAACUGGUGUACUGAGUGGCCACUUGGGGAAAGAGUCAUAGAGAGAUAGUCAUUUACGUGUACUGUGUACGUUGAGUGGUCGAGAUUCACUUCACAUGUGAUUGUGAUUAUAUGUGUUUGCAUCCAAAGACAAAGAAAAGUAGAUCUAAUUAAAAUGUUGAGCGGAUGGAAUCUAUGCAGCCAUAGCUGUAUAACAACACAGGGAGGGGAAGAAGAAGACUGGGCAGGAUUUAAAAGAAGAUAAUUUGAUUUGUGUCCAUUGCUGUAUUAUUUUUGUCACAACUUCUCCAGUUGGAACCCAAAUGCAGACUAUGCGAGGUAGAUGGUGACAGGGUGAGUAUUUAUUGAACAAGGGGGAGUGGUAUUUCCAACGUCCAGACAGGUGAAUUCUGGUGAUGUCGUGAUGUGAGGGAGAGGUUCAGGAUGCCAGUGACCGGAAUCCAGGGUGAAUGAACCAAAGACGGAGGUAAAAGCAAUAGGUAAGUAUACAACCACUACAAAGAGUGAACAGAGAUUGAUUCGCUGUUGAGGCUGACACGCAAGCACACAUACGAAUAUGGCUAACGCUCCGGCAGGGACUGGAUGUCAGGUCUCGGCUUAAAAUACUGUUGUGACGAUGGGACCAGAUGUGUUGAUUGGGCACAGGUGGGAGCAGGCACCGGUGAUCCUGGUUCUCCUGCCUUGUCGUCGUUGCUCGGCAACCAGAACAAAUAGACAGACAAACAGGAAAACAUACUCAGGGAGCUGGGGUCGUGAACAUUUUUCCUAGUGCCAUUGCUCCGUACUGUGUAUGUACUGACCACCCAUAGUCUACAUUGUGAACUGACUAUUUGACCUGAAUGGGUUCUAGCCACUGCUUGAAGUGGUGGCCAAUAAUGGCGCGUUUCCACCGAGCGGUACAGUGCGGUACAGGUCGGGUCGGUACCCUUUUAUUUGUGUCUCCCCUUAAAACUGUACAUGUUUAUUACAUUCUUAAUUUUUUUACUUUUCUAUUAAAUGUCACAUUAUUUGUGCCAUUUUUAUUACUAUAGAUACUGAUAAAUCUCAUAAAUCAAGAAUCUUACUGUUAAUAAAAAUGUAUUCGGUGUAAUACAGCUAUGUAAUUAAUAAAGAAAUGCAUGCAGUCUUGGCAUAAAAACUAGUUACAUCGAACGCACCAGGAGAUGUCACAGGCCCAGAGGCGUGGACACUGCUUUCCACACCUAUUUCUGAUCUGUAUAUAUACAUGUAUGUGACCUUUGUUUGAGAUGUGUUGGUUAAAGUGAGAGACAGUGAACUACCUUGUAGUUCCUUCUUAUGUCCUGAGUUACUUCGUUUUUACUUCAAUCCCUUCAGAAAACCUCCUAUAAUGCAGCAGGGUAUGACAUUCUACGCCGCAGUCUUCUUGGUCCUUUGGUCUACACUAGGAAUAGACUGGGUCGGCAGCAAUGUGGUCGCCGCAGUACACAAGGAUCGAGGCCCCAAACUCUCAACUUGCAAUUUACCUUACAGUUGUUUUAUAAUUUGCAUAACAAGCACAUUUAAGAAAAAGCUAAUUUUACAAAAAAAGCAUACUUUAACACAUUAAGCAGUUUAGUGCGGAAGAAACCUAAAACCUAAUUAUAGCCAUGUGGAAGGUCCAUCCUGAAAAGAGACUGCAUCCAUGUUGUUGGUUUCAAUGUUUGUUUCAACCGGCCAAAUUUUGUUGGUCAAAAGUGUGACCAAAUAGUGGUUAUUGUGUGGUCUCUACAUCAACUUUCUGUUUUGAGCUAAAGCUUCAGGACCAAACCUCUAACUGAAAGUCAUCAAAGUUGCUAACCAUACAACUACAGUAUAGCUACAACACGCUACACAAAGCUUGAGUGCAGAAGAAAAGAAAACCCUCAAAAAGGGACUUUCAAUUGAUUACUUAAAAGAUCAGCACAAGGGAGACAAGUCUCAAUCCAAAGUAUCUGCCUGCUCUCGUCUCCACAUAGAGGACCGAGGUGGCAGAGAUUUCCAUCAGACUGAGUGAUUGGGCCAGAGGGGGCAGUGAGUCGGGUCUGUCCUAAUCCACUGAGGCUCUGAAGCAGGCUUCAGAUCCAAAUGUGGUCUCCAUCAGGUGCACAGACUGAUAGAAACACGAUUUAUAUACAGGAACAACAGCAUCGUCCUCCACCUCAUGUGCAGAAGGUUCAAUUAGCAGAGUUUCAAGUUCGUCUGAGUCUGACACAGUUUUUACUUUUCAGAGCUAAUGACUAAAGUGCGGACCACCUCCACUUCACAACUCCUAUCUACUGUAAAUAUCCGGGAGAGUAAAAGAAGACAUUUAAACAUAAAUCGUAAAGCAACAUAACUAAGAAGUGGACGGAGUGCUAAAUAAAUGCAAUUGACAUUGAUGACAUGGUAUGAAUUGUGUCCUCUCCCACCCGUGGGGUGAUGACAUCCCACACCUUGUUUUUUAGUCUCUCAGUUCUCUCUGAGGAGGUCUGAUUGUCUUUCUCUGUCUCAGCCUCUCGAAAACACUUGUGGGAAAUGUAUCCAGGGAUAACAAGUAUGUCAGGCUUUUUGAGAGAAAAGAGUAAUAAAAAGUAGGUUUAUUUGAUGCUGUAGAGAUAAAGAACACUACUACAAAGCAGGGCAUCUCUCUGUCCAUCCAUCUGCCAGAUACAAGAUUUACUGACGUCACAACCAAAGUCUGUAUCACAAACAGGUGCAAUGGCGGCCCACCUCCCCCUACAAACACUGUGGGAGCCGAGCGUACCAACGCUACCACCAAACUCUUCUUCACUUCCUUCCAGCAUUACCGGGGCCACGAGGAAAGAAAUUUAACGAAUAUGCAAAAUGUAAAACCGCCAUUCGUUAUAAGUCUUUUUCCGAAUAGUAAGAAACUUACAAACCAGGUUGUGGGGUAUUAAGGGCAGAAGACUUUUUAGAGGUUAAAAUCAUAGUAAUCUGGUGAAUCCAGUUUGGUAUUGAUUGCUUUAAACCAUCAUUUUAAAUAAUUACGUAGUAAAAUCGUCAUGUUUGUAGCUGCCAGAUAGAGCAAGUCAGUUUUACUGCCCCAAACACUCUCUUGCCACUGUCAGGUCCCCCUUCAGCUCUACGUAUUAUGUCAGUGUGUAAUGUGUGUUUACUUGGCAGUGAACCAGACUCCUUCACACAGCAGCCGGUUGGUCAGUCAGUUCUGUCACUGCUGGCUCCGAUCCAACGGCCUUAGCCAGCGGAACAUCCCGGCUCCAUCCUGCACGCACGCGCAUGUGCACACACAAACACACGCAAGCACACACAUCCCAUUCUAUAGAGGAGCAGGUAAUGUGCAUGUCCAUCCUUGUGGAUUGCUAUGUUUUUUUUGCCAGAUGACUAUUAUUAGCCCCUUGGCAGAUGUAUUUAUCUGCAUAAAGCUCCCAGGAUAGUGAUUAGUGUUGGUAUUUUAAGGGAGCUGAAGCUCGCUAAAGUUAGCCCCGUUCUUAUCACCUGCAGCAACAAAUACACAGAGAUCAGUGUGAUGUUCUUUUACAUUAUAAUGUAAAUAUAAUGUAAUAUUGACUUCUCAUGUUUUCUGAGAAGCUGUAACAUUUAGAUCUAUAUUUGAACAUACAAGUCCUGGUUGCUAAAUAAAACUGAGGAGACGGACCUGUGGCCAAAUGUUUCUCAUUUCCAAAGCCAACAGUUCUGACUGAGCUAACAGUGUUAACCUAGAGGGGCGAGUGGAGGGUGAAGGAUACUCCUCCACAACAGCAACAUGGGUCAGAGCGCAGUUAUAAGCUGUAACUAUGAGUGCAAUGCAGAGCGCAGCCAUGGGCUGGUCUGUGGGGCAUGCUAAUGUGUAUGUGCACUAAAAGGCAUUUGCGCGUUACCCCAGAUAUGUAAAUAAAGCAUAGAGAACAGACAUCGACUCCGGGGUCUUUAAGGUGAAGCCAAUGAAGAAGUGUCUUAAACAUGCAUUCUUUCUAAUGGCCAUUAGGGGACUACUGUAGUUAAAUUACAUGCAAAAUAAUUAAGAUUGUAUAGCAGUCUUGUAAAUGAAAAUGAAUUAAAAUGAAAACCAACCCUGCUUAUCACUUUAUUUGUCUUCCACAGUAAAGAUUAUACACAACAGUUUAUGUUCUCAGUCUCUAGUUUCAAGACUUCUUUGAUCCUAUAUGAUGUUCAUUUAUUAGAUUAUGGUCCAUUUAGAGUCAAAGAGAACAAACAAGGUAUGUUUUGGGAAUCUUUUGGGGACGUUUUACAUUACACAAUAAUGACUAUUUUUUGUUUUAGUUUUUAAUAUAUACACACAUAGUAAUGAUUCAGUGUUAGUGUCGAUCUGCAGAAACAAUAUAGUAAGCUUGUGAGUACUUUCUUUCAUGCUCAAACAAGGUAUUAUUAUUUUCUGGAAUUCUUUUCCAUAAAUGAAUCCCCUGCUUAAUGAGAUGAAUCAUGAUCUGUUUCUAAGCGUAUGUGUAUAUGUGUGUUUGUAAAUUUUUGGGACACUGAAAUGCAGAGAAUGUGUUUGGGACGAUAAGACUAAAAUUGAGGGUUUUAAGGACGCUGAAACCUCAACAAUAUGGCCGACAAUUUACACGGUUCAUUAGUUCUAAAGAUCAAGGAGUGUGUGUCCAGCCUGGAGCCCCACACGGAGCAAAGCCGCACACACACACGCGCACACACACACACACACACUCGCAAACACAAAGAAUCCUCCUUACACACUCAUCUAUGGGGUCAGAUCAGUCUCAAUAAUUGCAAAUGCGCACAGAGCGACUCACAAAUGUAUUCGAUUUACAAAUGCACACAGAAGGAUUUACAAGUAAAUGCAGUGUGACCCGCAGAUAUGAUUCGUAAUCCGCAAAUAACAAAAACAUUUGUGAAUUUUUCCGUGCGCUUUUGUGAGUCGCUCUGUGCGCAUUUGCAAUUAUUGAGACUGAUCUGACCCCAUCCACGCAGCCAGCCAUGUUAUAUUUUAACCAGGAAUCAGGAACAAUUAUUGCCAAAAUAUGUUGGACAUACAAGGAAUUUGACUUGGCGGUUGGUGUAUAACAUCAGACAGAAGACAAUGAUCAGAAGAAAGACUAACUGCAUUAUUUAUUAGUUAAAUCAAAGGUUGUAUCUGACAUCAAUUUUCUUCUAAUUUUACUAAAAACCUGUGUCUUUUAAUCUGAUUAACCGGUAUGGGUUGCUGAUAGACUUUAAUCAAAUCAAUGCAGAAAUUUAGUUUGCGUCUCAUUUUCUAUUCUGGUAAAGCUGCAAAGUAUAGUGUGUUUUUAGAAAUUCAGUUCAUUCCAGAUAUUUAAAUUGAAACAGAAUUUCAACACAAUGUUGCCAUAAUCUGAAGAGAAGAGGACUUUGAGAAACCAGCAGAAAGGAGAGAUGGAACGUUCCUAUAUCCUGGAGGAUUUGUCUCUCCCCUAAAAAGCAUAUGUGUGUUCUUCAUAAAGACGCAGUAAAGUAUCCUGAAUCCCCUAACACAGCAGCGUCACAACUGGAAUGUAACUGGAAUAUGUUCUCCCUGUGUCUUCGCUCCAUCAGUUAUUUACGUU